UCUAAAUUAGAUAAUUUGACUAAAGGCACACAUGAUUGUGUGCCCUCUUCUGCUGCAAAUUGUAUUGAAAAUGAUGCUUGAACGUUCCACAUGCCAGAUGUAACUUUGUUUUCUUUACUAAUUUCUUACUUGGAAGAUGGAGUUAUAAAACAUUCUCCCUUAACACCCCAGCAGUGGUUCUUAAUUUGACUGGGACCCACAACAGCGGUGAAUUAUUCAGAAAAAUGAUUUUAAAAGUUUUGUCCUCUUCAGUAUUACAGCUGAUGUAACUAAAUCGUUAUAGAUCUGAUUGUGAUUAUGCUCGCUGGGACAAAACAUUUGGUACAUAAUUUUCCAGUGUGGCUCAGGAUGGGGAGAGGAAGAGUAAAUAAUAAUAAUAAUAAAAAAAGGUAUUACAAGAUCUAUUAUUUAGAUUGCAAUUACAGGGAACAAAACAGAAAGUGAGUAAAAUAAAAAGUGAACAUGUGAUGUUUCAGCAGUUGGAUCUUCAACCCUGAAGGUGUCACCUCAGUUUAAUUAACUCCAAGGAGGAGGCUUGCCUAUUGCCUCCUUUUCUCUAUUCUUUAUUUAUUUACAGGUCUGUUGGUUGCUGAACGUGGAAGCAGAUGGCUUGGUGGUCAGUGUGACGUCGAGUAUUGAACCCAGGGCGUGAUGGAUGAGUGUUUGGAGCUGAUAUGGUGGACAUGUUAAAGCACCCAUCGACAUACAAUUGUGAUUUUCCUGGACAUUGAACACCUGUGGGCUGUUUCACCCCACCAGCAGGUCCACCUGGUAUGGAGCAACAAAGUCCUGACAUGACCUCACCUCCACAAGGUCAGUACCCCUACAAGGGGAUAACUCGUCUGAUGACACACCCCUGAGCAUGGCCAGCUGCAUGAGCACUGCAGACUCCGAGCUGUCAGCGGAAAAGACUGCAUGAACUUUUGGUGGACACUGGAGCCACAUAUGGGCCUCUGAGUUGUGGACUAAGAUACUGAGAGAAGAAACAGUGUCUGCCCUUGUGAUCUGAGGGGGAGAAAGCAUUGCUAGCAUCUAUGGAGGACUGAGAACAGAGCCUGCUACAACUGGUGUUCUCUCCAGCUAUGGAAGAUGCAACGUCUGGGUUCCUGCUCUUCUUCCCACCUGACCCGCCACACGUCACUCUACUGCACAGACUGGUAUCAUGAUUCUUUAAGGUAAAACACAGACAGUCAUUCUAGGAAUAUGUAUGUGGCACCUGAGCGUUUGGCAGCUGCUACUGCUGAACAAUUUAUAACGAUAUAUGAUGUCGGAUGAAACGAUUUCACACAUUUCUCUUUCUCUCCAUGUUGAGCACCAGAAAGAAGUAGGGGCGUGGUUAAACAUUCCCUUCAGGCAACUGAUUGGGCUCCUACCAGCGUGCAGGAUGCACUCUCUGACAGGAAGGAGUUUUUCGGGGUUGCGACGUCAACCUCCCAGGAUUCACAGGUAGCACACGAAAUUUGACAUCUAAAGAUUGUUGUGUAGUUUCAGAUUAUAUUGGAGAUUCCUAAGGAAUGUGAAGGAGGGUCCACAACCCCCAGACCUCGGCUGAGUGCGCGCUAAGGUCAACGAAGGACAGAGGUGAGGGUUGUGAUUUAGGGUGCUCUGACCAGAGUGCGGAGCCGUGAGGUCCCACCACAGGGUGCCAAAGGAAACACCGAGACCAGCGCAGAACCAGAGUGGGAAAGUCAUGAAAAGAAAGUGGUCAGAACCAAGGUGGACCAGCCCGUACCAGAUGGUGGAACGCACUUCGCACGCGGAAGAAGUGGGCAGUGAGCUGCUCUCCUGCUCCAGAAAAAAAAAGAAGAAAAAAAGCAUAAAACAGAAGAGGCAGAAGAAGUAGUUUUUACCUGACCACAUGGUGUUGUAGCAACUCUUACACUCAGAGAGAAGAAGAAAACCAAAAAGAGACUCAGAGAACUAAAAAAAAUAAUUUUGUUUUUAUAUAUGUAUUUUUGCAUUUCUUGUUGAAAUUUGUGUGUUUCUCCACAGGUGUUUUUCCACAGGGGUACUAAAAUAGCAUUAACCAAACCCCCUAAGGGUUGUGUUGCAGGCAAAUGGCUAUAUCUGGAUUAUACUAAUAUUGUGGUGGCCAUAGGCAGUAAUAAAAGCAUUAGAAGGAUUGCGCACGCUCUCAGAAACUAUGCACGAGUACUCCGGAAUCUCUAACCCAUUCGAGGGGUGGAUGACUGGUGAGUUUGGCAAGUGAAAAAGUCUGAUCAUCUCUUUUUAUAUCACUUGCAGCAUUUGUAGCAAUAUUGAUUACAUGCGAUUGUUGUUGCACGCAAUGCAUUUGCUCAUUGACGGUCCGCCUCAUAUCCUCCACCAUUGAGAAACAGAACCACAGAGUUAUGAUGCCUUUGUUAGUCACAGUACCUGAGGAGGAGAGCGAGGACACUGGGUUUGAGCUGAUGCAUGUAUAAGAUUUAACCAGAAGUAUUACUGUUUUUGGGAAAAUAUGUGUUUUUCUUUUAUUACUUAUUACCAUUACAAUAUAAUCAAGUAUUUACCAAAGGUGUCAUAACAAACCAGGAAAUUUAGGGUUUUCUACUGCAAUAGUUUAUGAGUGAACUCUUAAAAGAGUUCAAAAGGGGGAAUUGUGGAAUGUAUUAACUUUGAUUCAUUUUUUAGUACACAUUUAUGAAGGUAUAACAUGCUUUUAUUGUGCAAUAUAUUUGCUUUGAGGCCUGUCUGUUUAUCAGAAGAAGAGAAUGUGAAUAGGUUCUGUGUAUGAGUAUCAAGAGAACUUUCAAGGCCAGUCCGAGGCAGUGGGAAAGAACAGAAACUCCGGUUCACAUGCAGCUGGAGAAAAUAAUGAGGGAAGAUAGUUAUUAGGGAGUAAGAUAGCGAUAGGAUGUGUGCGUCAUUCAUUGUGUGACUUUGUAUAAUCUAUGUUCUAACUUUAAUAAAAACCAGCCUGAGCGGGAGAGAGACGAGAGUUGUUGCCCGGAAUCGGCAGGUGUACCAUCUCUCCCCUUUGCAAAGGUGAAACUGAAA